AUUGAACGCUGGCGGCAUGCCUUACACAUGCAAGUCGAACGGUAACGGGUCCUUCGGGAUGCCGACGAGUGGCGAACGGGUGAGUAAUAUAUCGGAACGUGCCCAGUAGUGGGGGAUAACUGCUCGAAAGAGCAGCUAACACCGCAUACGACCUGAGGGGGAAAGGGGGGGAUCGCAAGACCUCCCGCUAUUGGAGCGGCCGAUAUACGAUUAGCUAGUUGGUGGGGUAAAGGCCUACCAAGGCAACGAUCUGUAGUUGGUCUGAGAGGACGACCAGCCACAGUGGGACUGAGACACGGCCCAGACGCCUACGGGAGGCAGCAGUGGGGAAUUUUGGACAAGGGGCGCAAGCCUGAUCCAGAAAUGCCGCGUGCAGGAAGAAGGCCUUCGGGUUGUAAACUGCUUUUGUCAGGGAAGAAAUCUUCUGGGCUAAUACCCCGGGAGGAUGACGGUACCUGAAGAAUAAGCACCGGCUAACUACGUGCCAGCCGCCGCGGUAA
rnacentral:rRNA from 1 species